rnacentral:lncRNA from 1 species
UAGCCAAGGCUUUCAGCUCAGCUCAUCUUGGGAGGAGAGGCUUCUCGCUCUUGGUCAUCCGAGGUCUUCGGUCCAGAUCGAUGCUUUUGGAUUUCGAGGAUUCUCUUAUUGGAUUAUUCCUUGCUUCUUAAACAGUCAAGAAUUUUAGCUCAGCUUAUCUUGAAAUAAGGAACUUCUCGCUCUUGAUUGUCCGAGAUCUUUGAUCC